GAUGAACCCUACCUACAGGCUUACCUUUUGCAAGUCGAGGGGUAGCAGGGUACCAAUACCGCUAACAACCGGCGCCCGGGUGAUUAACACUUAUCCAACCUUCCCAUAACUCUGGAAUAGCCUUUCAAAAAAAAAAUUAAUACCGAAUGGUACUUUUUCAAGGCAUCUUGAAAAAUUUAAAAAUUUAUUGUUUAUGGAUGGGAAUGCUUUCCAUUAAAUAUUUGGUGAGGUAACGGCUCACCAAUUCUUCAAUGGAUAGGGGUUCUGAAAGGAAGGUCCCCCACUUUGUUACUGAAACACGAACCAAACUCCUACGGAAGGCAGCAGUGAGAAUUUUUGUUCAUUGGGCAAAAGCCUGAACCACCCAAGUACCGUGAAGGAUGAAGGUCCUAUGGAUUGUAAACUUCUUUUAUAUUAAAUUAAAGUGUUCCACUUGUGAAUUUUUG
rnacentral:rRNA from 1 species